UCUGUUUAAAAGUUUUGACCUUAGGAUUAUUAACAACUUAUAACAACUAUUUACCCUUAGACCUGAAACCAAUUUUUAUGAUAAGUAUCUUUAUAAGAAACCCCCUAUAUCCCGAUAAAAAAAGUACCGCAAGGAAACAGUGAAAUACAAGCCCAAUAGCAAAACUAAAAACAGGAAAGGUUAAACCUUUUACCUCGUGUAUAAUGGAUUAACAAGAAGAAAGAAAAGAUAUUCCAACCCCGAAACUAAGUGAGCUAACCCCCUCUUCUCUUUAGAAGAUAGCCCUUACUGUUGCAAUAGUAAGACAAAAGGGAGGGUUAGUUGUUAUAUGCUAACCGCACUUAGAGAUAGCUGGUUCCUCGAGAAACUAGUCUAAGCUAGCCCCUUUCCCCUUUGUAUAAAAAGCCAUUAGUAAGUAUUAACUAAAGCUUGAUAAACCAAAAGAAAGCGGCCAGAGUAAAAAGGACAAGCUUUUUACUCAAAAUGGAAAACCCCAGUGAAUUUAGUUAAAGUCAAUAAUGUUUUAUAAUAGUGUAUAGGAGACAAGUAGGCCUAAAAGCAGCCAACUAAUGAUAAAGCGUUAAAGCUAAUCUUUAUAAAUGCCCUAAAAGAUUUUUGAAGAAAAAACUAAUACUAAAAACUGCUACCGAGGCAUUCUAUAAUUAGAAAAGAUAAUGUUAAUAUAAGUAAGAUAACCUCCAAUUGACCGUAAACAACCUUAACCAAGGAAGAAAAAUGUUCUAACUAAAAACAGAAUUUUUCUUAGUUGUCUUCCCCCUCAGGAGGAGGUAGUUAUAAUUAAUAGAGGAGAAGGAACUCGGCAAAUUUAAGCUUCGCCUGUUUACCAAAAACAUCGCCCCCUGAAAAAUAAGCAUAGGGGGUCCUGCCUGCCCAGUGACUGAAAAGUUAAACGGCCGCGGUAUCUUGACCGUGCGAAGGUAGCAUAAUCAUUUGUCUCCUAAAUAGAGACUGGUAUGAAUGGCAAGACGGAGCUUCACUGUCUCCUCCUCUUUGAUCUGAACUUCACAUUCCCGUGAAGAGGCGAGAAUUAGUUCGUAAGACGAGAAGACCCUGUCGAGCUGUAGCUAAAUUUUAAUUGUUGUUUACUAUUAGCCCUAACUAAUUAUAAUAAGAGUAGCAGGCCUAAAGCAUGACAAAUUAAAACAAGCUUUGAUUGGGGCAAUCCCGGAGAAAGAAAAUCCUCCGCUACUAUAUGGUUAUAUUAACCUAAAAUAAAAGAAUUAUUUUUCUUAAAUCAUAAAAAUGAAGGUAUGAUCCACUUACAGUGAUCAAAAGAACAAGUUACCGCAGGGAUAACAGCGUUAUCUUUUCUGAGAGUUCAUAUUGACGAAAAGGUUUGCGACCUCGAUGUUGGAUCGGGACAUCCUAAGGGUGCAGAAGCUUUUAAGGGUUGGUCUGUUCGACCAUUAAAGUCCUACGUGAUCUGAGUUCAGACCGGCGAAAGCCAGGUCAGUUUCUAUCUACGAACCCCUCUUCCUUAGUACGAAAGGACCAGGAAGAACGUGUCCCUGCAUAGUAAAUGUAAACACUACAAAUUAAAAAC
rnacentral:rRNA from 1 species